CGCCCAGCCGCGUCGCCCGGGGCCGCGCACGCACCCGUGGCCUAGGCGUCGCGCCUCCCGCCGGGGGCGGCGCGGGGGCAAGGCUGCGCUCACCUCCCCGUGGCCCCGGGGCGGCCCGCUCCUCCUCCCGCCCGCCCGGCGUCCCCGCGCACUAGCUCAGCGUCCCACGUUCCAGCAGCCCUGGGACAGCGCCUUCCUACGCCGGCGCCCGGUCCCCGUGCCGCCCUCGCUCUCCAGCGAGGCCCCGGCGGCCCCAGCCCUCCCCUGAGCUUUUGGGUUUUAAACUAGUCCCAUCUAUCACUUACUACCUGCCUAUCGCCCAGCACCAACUGUUGCAAGUUCCGCAGCAUUGCUUCUCGCAACUUCUGGGUCGAAACUGCCCCUCCCGGGGGCGCCUUGGAGGAGCAGAAUGCCCGGAUGCCCUUGGAGGCACUGAGCCCGGAGGUUUUCAAAGCCAGAAGCCCAGACAAGUCAGAUUGCACAGCAGAAGGUAUGGGUCAACAGAAGCAGCAGGCACAAGCCAGGAGACAAGUUUCCAAUUCCCAACACAAUGCUAUGUCCACCACCCCACUGUACAUCUCUGUCUCUACUUCAUUUAUUUAAAGUUGGAAACCAACUUAUAACUGACUCUUCAUGAUGCUUUUUUGGAAAGACAAUAUAGUGGGUUGCAACAAUAAUACAAAUUGUUAUGGUUCGAGUGUGAAUGACUCCCACAGACUCAUGUAUUUGGACACAUGGUCCUCAGCUGGUUGACCUGGUUUGGAAUGUGGUAGAAGUUUUUGGAUGUGCUCCAUAGCUGACAGAUCUUGGGCUAUAGUGGGAUGUCUUGAGGACGACAAUCUGGCCCAGCUUCUGCCUUGAACUCUGUGCUUCUUGGUGGGUGCCGUGGACUAAGUAGCUGCCGCAGACUUCUGCCCUCACAGAGAAACUCCCACUGUGCCUUCCUUGCUGUGACAUACUGUCCAUCGUAUGCUCUUCCCUCUAAUUGUGAGCUAGAAUAAACCUCCCCUUAAGUUGCUGGCUCACAUAUUC
ensembl:lncRNA